rnacentral:rRNA from 1 species
GGGGCUCAACCCCGCCCGCUCCCCGAUUACCGGCGGGCUUGAGUCUGGUAGGGGAAGUGGAAUUCCAAGUGUAGCGGUGGAAUGCGCAGAUAUUUGGAAGAACACCCGGUGGCGAAGCGGCCUUCUGGGCCACGACUGACGCUGAGGCGCGAAAGCUAGGGGAGCGAACAGGAUUUGAUACCCUGGUAGUCCUAGCCGUAAACGAUGGGCACUAGGUGUGGGGGGACGAUCCCUCCUGCCGCAGCUAACGCAUUAAGUGCCCCGCCUGGGGAGUACGGCCGCAAGGCUAAAACUCAAGGAAUUGACGGGGGCCCGCACACGCAGCGGAGCAUGUGGCUUAAUUCGAAGCAACGCGAGAACCUUACCAGGGCUUGACAUAUAGGUGAAGCGGCGGAAACGCCGUGGCCUAACGGAGCUAUACAGGUGGUGCAUGGCUGUCGUCAGCUCGUGUCGUGAGAUGUUGGGUUAAGUCCCGCACGAGCGCAACCCUCGUCGCAUGUUGCCAGCGGUUCGGCCGGGCACCCAUGCGAGACCGCGGCGUCAAGCCGGAGGAAGGUGGGGACGACGUCAAGUCAUCAUGCCCCUUAUGUCCUGGGUGCACACGUGCUACAAUGGCGCGGACAAUGGGCUGCCACUGCGCGAGCAGGAGCGAAUCCCAAACCGCGCCCCAGUUCGGAUUGGAGGCUGCAACCCGCCUCCAUGAAGUCGGAGUUGCUGUAAUCGCGGAUCAGCACGCCGCGGUGAAUGCGUUCCCGGGCCUUGUACACACCGCCCGU